CAUUACAUCACUUAUCUCUCUCUUCAUUUCUUCCUCAUCCUCAUUUCUACUGCACGAGUUUGAGUGAAAGAAGGGAUCGGGAGGACUCUCAAAGGGAGAGCCGGGGAGAUCUCAGCAGGGUCAGAAAUGCGAUUUGGCAGUAAACAGGUUUAUUGCAUAGAAUGAUAAAACCCGAGUUAUUCAGAAAGUUGCUCUAUAAAUAUCAGUUGCAACAACACACAUUCAUAAAUUACAGGUUCUUCUCUCUCUUUACUUUUACUUUCAUAUCUUUUUUUGUCUUUGUAUUUUUUGUAUUAUAAUAUUUCGCUAAUUAUCUUGACCAUUUAUAUUUUACAGAUUUUUUAAGGUACGUGAACAUUAUCUAAAAUUUUUCUCUUUUUACAUAGCUCAAACUCUUUAUUGAUUUUUAGUUUGUAUUUAUUUUGAUGAUCAUUAAGGUUUGUUAGCUCUACCUAACAUUUUUCUUUUUUACAUUGCUUCCCUUUGUAUUUUUUAGUUAGUUGUUUGUGUUUAUUAUUGUAUUUAUUUAUAAUUCUAACUAUUACAUUUACACAACAUAAAUCAAUAGAAAACAGAAUCAGAUUUCUUCCAA